GUGCUUGGUUUGGCAGCACAUAUACUAAAAUUGGAAUGAUACAGAGAAGAUUAGCAUGGUCCCUGCACAAGGAUGACCACAAAUUCCUGAAGCGUUCCAUACACUG